CAACAAACGGAACAGGGAUGGGCAGCCGAUAAACCCUCACCUGGCAGACAGGUGGUGGGGGAGAGGAGGACGGCAGCGGCAGCGACUGCGGGAGGAGGCUUAACGGCUCGGCUUAUGAGCUCCAUCUUAACAACAGACGAUGGGAGAGACGUGUAAAUUGCACCAUGAGAAGCAUGAUAAACGCUGCAGAAAUCAGGCUGCUGCUUGUGAAAGUCCGACCAUGACAUACCACAUGUUAAAACUGGUCACUCAGCAGGCCGGCCGGAUUCCGCAAUGCUAAAAGCCCAUUUUGAGAAAGGGAGGGAGGCAACCGUUAUUCUAUGGAUCAGCACGACGCCUGUGUUCCAUGGAACAAGUCCGACCCGUCUGAGAAAGUGACAGGCCAAGAGGAACGCCCAGUGGAAGCGAAGGAAGCAAGCUUGUGAGAUCGCG